rnacentral:rRNA from 1 species
UACGAAGGGGGCUAGCGUUGUUCGGAAUCACUGGGCGUAAGGGGCGCGUAGGCGGCUUUAUAAGUCGGGGGUGAAAGCCUGUGGCUCAACCACAGAAUUGCCUUCGAUACUGUAUGGCUUGAGACCGGAAGAGGUAAGUGGAACUGCGAGUGUAGAGGUGAAAUGCGUAGAUAUCUGGAGGAACACCGGUGGCGAAGGCGGCAUUCUGGACCGAAACUGACGCUGAGGCGCGAAAGCCAGGGGAGCAAACGGG